AUUGAACGCUGGCGGCAGGCCUAACCCAUGCAAGUCGAGCGAGCGGCGGACGGGUGAGUAAUGUAUGGGGAACUGCCCGAUAGAGGGGGAUAACUACUGGAAACGGUGGCUAAUACCGCAUACUAUCGGAUGAACCAAGAUGGGAUUAGCUAGUAGGUGGGGUAAAGGCUCACCUAGGCGACGAUCUCUAGCUGGUCUGAGAGGAUGACCAGCCACACUGGGACUUAGACCCGGCCCAGACUCUUCCGGGAGGCAGCAGUGGGGAAUAUUGCACAAUGGGCGCAAGCCUGAUGCAGCCAUGCCGCGUGUAUGAAGAAGGCCUUCGGGUUGUAAAGUACUUUCAGCGGGGAGGCGUUACCCGCAGAAGAAGCACCGGCUAACUCCGUGCCAGCAGCCGCGGUAAUUC
rnacentral:rRNA from 1 species